rnacentral:rRNA from 1 species
GACGACGCUGGCGGCGUGCCUAACACAUGCAAGUCGAGCGAGGUGUAUACACCUAGCGGCGGACGGGUGGAGUAACACGUGGGUGACCUGCCUCAAAGUAGGGGAAUAGCCUCUCGAAAGGGAGAUUAAUACCGCAUAAUAUACGCAUAUUUAACUACUGCGUAUCAAAGGAGUAAUCCGCUAUGAGAUGGGCCCGCGGCGCAUUAGCUAGUUGGUGAGGUAACGGCUCACCAAGGCGACGAUGCGUAGCCGACCUGAGAGGGUGAUCGGCCACAUUGGGACUGAGACACGGCCCAGACUCCUACGGGAGGCAGCAGUGGGGAAUAUUGCACAAUGGGGGAAACCCUGAUGCAGCAACGCCGCGUGAGUGAUGACGGCCUUCGGGUUGUAAAGCUCUGUCUUCAGGGACGAUAAUGACGGUACCUGAGGAGGAAGCCACGGCUAACUACGUG